AAAAAGGUUGGGGACGUCUUUUCCAUUGUGGCUUUAGAGGGACUGUACUCCUGUCCUUUAUCCACACAUGAUUACCUAGUGAGAAAGGGUGAACUGGGGAGAAAAAGGCUUACAGGACAUUUGUUAUUUACUUAGGUUGAAGUAUCCUAAGCGAUUUUCCCUAGGGCUAGUAACUCACAUCCUAACUCAAUUUUUCCCCACUCCCGAGGAGUUCCCGGGAGUGCCCAGAGUAGGGGAGGGGCCUAUGGUGUAACACUUAAUAGGGGAAUAUCUUGUUUUUCUUAGAGGGGGUGCAUCUAAUUUUGAAUAGCACUAAGGGAAGUGCCUGCACCCAUUUUAAUCUUGUUUCCUGACAUACUUUCCCUAAGCUGUUUUUGAUGGUUCAGUUCAUUCUUUCCACUUUUCCAGAACCCUGAAGUCGGUAGGCAGCAUGCAGUUUCCAG